rnacentral:lncRNA from 1 species
AACAAAGUUAAUCUGAUGCAUAAAUACUAAGUCCUAUACUCUUUUCGCAUCAUGCAUUUAGCUUAGAUGCAUAUAAUGUGUAUUUUGCUGCAUUUAUCAACUACUUUUCCAUCGCAUAUUUCAGGCCCACUAUCUAUUGAGUUAUCAUAUAUUCUCAAUAUAAAAAUUGGAAAUAUUCUAAAGGACUUAUGUGAAUGUUAGUGUGAAGCAAAUCUAUGUGCAAAUCUAUGUACUAGAUUUCUUCGUAAGGUGUUCUAAUGCAUGAGUAGCUGUGCUGUUUAAUAAAAUUGUUAAUAUUCUUGUAAAAUUGAUCAAUGCCAAAAACCUCCUCUGAUUAUUUUUAGAUCCAAUUUCAUUGUUCCUUCUUUUUCCUAGCAUUUCUUGGAAAAUGGUAGACUCCAAAGCAGCCUACAGGGUGGAGGUAAAACUCAUUGCUGCUUCACAUCUCUAUGCAUCAAAUUGAAACUUCCCAAGUUUGCUAUUUUCUUGUUUAUCCUGGGGCAUUUUCUUUGGUAUGCUAUAUAUUAUUAUAUAGAGAUUAAUCCAUGAAACACUAGAUGAUAAUUUUAAGAAUUGUAAUGGAAUUGAUUGGUACUUACACUGUGACAUGAUUUCCAAUAGAAGAUGUAAUUUACCUGUGGGCCAUAGCUACUAUACAUUGGUACAAGAAUAGCAAGGAGCAGUGCAAGUUUGAUUUAUACAUUAUCCUGUUUUCAGGACCAAAUUGUUGAGAUCAAGCUCCGCGAGAGAUCAGGCGUUUAGCAUGAGCAGCGCCCAGGAGAGGUUUCGCAACUUCCGGUUGCAGGUUGGUUGCGUUUCGAACCCCGAAUUGGCCAUCUUCUUGUAUGAGAAUCUUUUAUUUGGAUUAUGGUGGAUGUGCUGAGAUGAGGAUUUAAUGUUUUUUAUAGUGUUUAAUGAUAAUUUCUGUUAGUUGAACACUUGUGGUAAGGCGGUGUGGAUCUUCGGAUUGAUAAAAGAUGGAAACCAGGGAAUUAAGAAUCUUGCAGAUGUAAAUUGUCUACAGAGGGUAGAGAGUGGGGGAUAAAGUAACAUAGAAUCGAAUAAAGAUAGCAUCUUGAUAAUCUAGAAUAACCACAAUUUCAUAAAGUUCUUAUGUUGUGCUUGUUUUAUGGCAUAGUCUAUCGUAGGAUUUCGAUGAGUUUGUUGAAACUAUGUCAUGCACGGCUCAGUCUUUUCUUUUAAUUGAACGAGGAGAGAAUCAUAUUUGAUGACAUUAGAACUGCUUAUCUGGUAAAAUUAUGUAGCUCUCUGUUAUCAAAUUUGAAAGCAUUCUUGUGUUGAAACCGUCAGGCACUAACUGAAACAACAGGUCUAUAGGGGAUAAGAAAUUUCAUUUUCCUAUUUUGUUAUGUUUUGCUUGCUAAAUGACUUCUUGUUUGGUAAAAUAUGAGUAAUUCUCAUGGCAUUAAGGAGUUUAUAGAGGAUAUAAUACAGGCGUGAACUAAAUACUGGACAUUUUGAUAUGUCAUAUUCAGGCAUUCAUAUAUAUACCAUGUCCUUUUAGAUUCUUUCUAAAUGGUUUUAGAUAGACAUAGAAGUGAAUAUCUUAGCAUUUCUAGAUAACAGCUUGUACUCAUGUUUUGAUUGGAAGCAAAAAUUUUAAACAUUGAAGUUUUUUGUAUUGAAUGUUGGGUUCUUUUUCGUGACAAAAUUUUAAAAAACACCGUGAUCACAAAAGAUAAUAUGAGAGUGUGAUAUUGCUUCUAGGAAGUCUAAUUUUCGUUUUUUGUUAAUAUCUUUAAGUAGGGGAUUGCAGAAGUGAGGAAGUAGGUUUAAUCAUGGUUUGUGGCCAAUUCUUCAUAUUUCUUCUUUACUGUAAGUGUGAAAUCUACUUCCUCAUGCUUCUGCAUUCCAUUGUCUUUUUACUUUCCGUCACUGCGGCUUUCUUCUUUAUUACAUAAUCAUUUUUUCGUAUCUGCUACUGUUAUUUUGUUUCAGAAGUUUUCAUUUUUACUUUAGUUUAGCUCUCAAACUGAUAAUAUAAGGCCACCAGUUUUGUUAUUUUGACUAGCGUAAAUUCGAUUCAUGCUAUACUAUACAUUUAUGUUAUUUUAUCACUUAACGAGAUGUAUCCUAUAAUCUAGCAGAUUUUUAUUGUUGUGACUAUGCUUUGUUGACUUAUGUUCUAGGAAUAGCAGGUCCACUACAAGGUCAGCCACAGUUAUUCAUCUCUCAUUCUGCACAAUUCAUAUAGGGUGGUGGUUCAAAGCGAGCAACUGGUUGAGAGGAGCUGCGUUAUGAGCGACAUUUUGUAGUUGAAACUCAUGUAUGAAAUUUAUUAUUUUUUGGCUGGAAUUCAAACAAGCAUUUUGUUGUUGAAACUUAUGUAUGAAAUUUAUUUUUAAUAUUGAAACUGUAAUUUAUCGCAAAUCAUGAUUGCUCUUUGAUAAUGAAUGUUUUCUAAUUUUAAUUUAUUGGAAUAUUUAAUUGUGGAUCAAGCGUUUUAAUAUAUAUUGCAAUUGCCGCUAUAAGUCUUAUUUAGUAAUUAUUUAGUAUACUUUUAGUGGCGAUUAUCAUUAAUUAUAAUGACAUUUAUAAUUGUUGUUAUUGGAUAGGAUUUAGCGGCAUUUGUUUAGACUUUUACCAACCGUCCAAACAAAUGCCAUUAUAACUUUUACCGACCCCACCAUUAGUGGCAAUUACUACAAUUGUCACUAAAUUAUUUAGCGACAAUUAUAAUUGUCGGGAUUUUAGAAAAUAAUCACCACUAAAACUUAGUUUUGUUGUAGUGUCCAUCUAAGUGCGCACCCUAUUCCUACAAUGAACCUAUUGCAGCCAACAUGCACCGCAAGGACCCGAAUGCCUAGGGAUCAACUGUAUGUACAGUCAAACUACAGUAACCUCAUUAUGAAUAGCUGAGACACCGCAGGUCAAAGGACCAGUCACACUACUACAACAUUGAGUAAGUCACUGACGAGUGAGUAGACAUUCAAGUAACUUCUCGCGUUGGUUACGCUUAGUACCCUUGUUCUCUAACAACUACUUGCAUAUUCGCUUCAAUGUCCCCACACUGUCGACUCAAGACUGGUCUACCCAAAAAUGGAAGCGACCUAUGCAUCAAUCUCAUCGGAUCAAUCACCGUCUCUGUGAUGAUUCAUUGAUCGGGAGCAUUUAGGAAUUAAUCACCAAUGACACGUCUCAAAUUCUCAACUCUUGAGAAUAUAUGUCAUCAUCUUAUUAAUUUAUUGGAUGAUUUAUGGACACAUACACAAUAUAAAUGAAAAUAAGAACCCAAAUUUAUUUAUAAUAUUUUAAAGUCAAAUACAAAUUUAUGUUCUAGAAAAAUACAUGUGUCGGCCUGGUUAGUUUCUAAGGCAUACAUUUAACAAUCUCCCACUNAUUGAGUUAUCAUAUAUUCUCAAUAUAAAAAUUGGAAAUAUUCUAAAGGACUUAUGUGAAUGUUAGUGUGAAGCAAAUCUAUGUGCAAAUCUAUGUACUGGAUUUCUUCGUAAGGUGUUCUAAUGCAUGAGUAGUUGUGCUGUUUAAUAAAAUUGUUAAUAUUCUUGUAAAAUUGAUCAAUGCCAAAAACCUCCUCUGAUUAUUUUUAGAUCCAAUUUCAUUGUUCCUUCUUUUUCCUAGCAUUUCUUGGAAAAUGGUAGACUCCAAAGCAGCCUACAGGGUGGAGGUAAAACUCAUUGCUGCUUCACAUCUCUAUGCAUCAAAUGGAAACUUCUCA